rnacentral:rRNA from 1 species
UGGGGAAUCUUGCGCAAUGGGCGAAAGCCUGACGCAGCAACGCCGCGUGUGUGAUGAAGGUCUUCGGAUCGUAAAGCACUGUCGCGAGGGAAGAUACGCCACCGGCCAACAUCCGGUGGCUAAGACGGUACCUCGAGAGGAAGCACCGGCUAACUCUGUGCCAGCAGCCGCGGUAAUACAGAGGGUGCGAGCGUUGUUCGGAAUCAUUGGGCGUAAAGCGCUUGUAGGCGGCCUGUCAAGUCGCGUGUGAAAUCCCCUGGCUUAACCAGGGAAGUGCGCGCGAAACUGGCGGGCUUGAGUGCCGGAGAGGGUCGCGGAAUUCCCGGUGUAGAGGUGAAAUUCGUAGAUAUCGGGAGGAACACCAGUGGCGAAGGCGGCGACCUGGACGGACACUGACGCUGAGACGCGAAAGCGUGGGGAGCAAACAGGAUUAGAUACCCCCGUAGUCC